rnacentral:rRNA from 1 species
GACGAACGCUGGCGGCGUGCUUAACACAUGCAAGUCGAACGGAAAGGCCCUGCUUUUGUGGGGUGCUCGAGUGGCGAACGGGUGAGUAACACGUGAGUAACCUGCCCUUGACUUUGGGAUAACUUCAGGAAACUGGGGCUAAUACCGGAUAGGAGCUCCUGCUGCAUGGUGGGGGUUGGAAAGUUUCGGCGGUUGGGGAUGGACUCGCGGCUUAUCAGCUUGUUGGUGGGGUAGUGGCUUACCAAGGCUUUGACGGGUAGCCGGCCUGAGAGGGUGACCGGCCACAUUGGGGCUGAGAUACGGCCCAGACUCCUACGGGAGGCAGCAGUGGGGAAUAUUGUACAAUGGGCGGAAGCCUGAUGCAGCAACGCCGCGUGCGGGAUGACGGCCUUCGGGUUGUAAACCGCUUUCGCCUGUGACGAAGCGCGAGUGACGGUAAUGGGUAAAGAAGCACCGGCUAACUACGUG